GCUGGGUGCAGUGGCGCAUGCCUGUAAUCCCAGCGGCUCAGGAGGCUGAGGCGGGAGGAUUGCAAGUUUAAAGCCAGCUUCAGCAACAAUGAAGUGCUAAGCAACUCAGUGAGACCUUGUCUCUA
rnacentral:sRNA from 1 species